UUUUUUUAAGUCAAAAUUUAAUUUAUUUAAGAAUUUUCUUAUUAUUUUUUAUCGCUUUUUGAAGUUUGAUUUUAAAAAAAAGGUAUGGCAUUCAGUAAACCGGCAACACCACACGAUGUAAAAAUAAAAUGGCUACCGGUAUCCAUUUCUACGCUUGCCGUUCCCUUAAAUCGUAGUGAUAUUCUCCGAAACUGCUGCUAUCGAAGCUCAGAUUGGUGAUACUCAAACUCAACAGUCAACACUUAACUUGAAGUGUCAAGAUUGCUGGAGUAGUUUAGAUUGGAGUGCUAAUGUGCAAUUGAAGCUAAACAUUGACCAGAGAACGCAGUUUAAUGUAAGCUACCAGCAACCAAAAUCAAGGAUUUAAAGACGCCACACUGAAAGAAAGUGUGGUGUUUCUUCUGGGACUUUCUAUAAGGAUUGAUUUGUUAAAUUGGAUAAUUAAGGACUAAUUUGGAAAUGACACAGACUUUCCCAAGAUUUGGAUAGUUGUGAUUUGCUGCUACACCGUACGCCUGAAGAAUAGCCUGAAGAAUCUACACCAUAUUACUGCGUGCUGAUUGUACUCUUGAUGCCGUGCAAGUCCAAAUGGUUAAAUGAAAGCCACCUUAUUGAUGUUUAGCAACUGUUUAAUCUGAAAGGGGCUGCCGUAUUUGUUCCUGUCAGAGAAUUUAUUGUAGUAAGUAGAAUGUUCAUCUUGAAAUGGUUGAAGAGAUUCGAGUGGAGUCUACUCUUAAACAACAAGGGGAUUCAACAUUAUCUAGUUACAGAUUUAAGUUUUACAGCAGUAACUUGAGUUGAGCAACAGUAAUAUAUAAUUUGUGCUAUGGUGUAUCUUCUGUAUGAGUGAGAAAUGAAAUAUACAAAUUAUAAAUGA